GUUGAAUGCUUAUCUCUCUUCAUGUAACACACUCUGGCUGUUUGUUCAUUCAAAGCCGUGAUUAAAUGAGAGCCAGACGAUCUCAUUUAGCGUCUCUGUGAAGUCAGUCCAAACAAAUCUCAUCGUGAAUUAGGCAGAAAUAAUACGCUGAGUGAAGGAGACAACCCAAAAGAGAGAUAUUCAGUUCUGGGAGCUCCCUUUUAAAAGUAGGUAUUUUUUUAUACAGACAGGUGUGGAGGAUGACUGGGGCGCUGGUUGCUGUUGGUCAGAUACAGAAGCUGCUAGAAGCACAAGAUUCACUGGCCCUCCCACAAAACCUGAUGGCCCCAGCCCACGGCCUGUUUCUGACCCAUGUACAGUACAGAGAUACAGGUAAGAAAUGUUCACAAUAUCGCUAUACUCAUUAUAUGUGUAUGUAAAUUGUAAAUGUACAAUCACAGCACACUACA